AGGCCCCGGGUCGGGUGGCGGCCGCCUGUGACCUAACCCUAACUGAGAAGGGCGUAGGUGCUGUGCUUUUGUCCCCCGCGCGUUGUUUUUCUCGCUGACUUUCAGCGGGCGGGAAAAGCCUCGGCCUACCGCCGCCGACUGGACAAUGAACUGCGAACCAAAAAAUGUCAGCCGCAGGCCGCUCUCCGCCCGGGGACCUGCCGUGGCCCGCCCGCCUUGCGCCGCGCCCCGCCUGGAGGCCGCGGUCGGCCCGGGACUCCCUCCGGAGGUUCCCAAUGCCGCCGCGAAGAGUUGGGCUCUGUCAGCCGCGGGUGCCGUGGGAACCUAGGGCGAGGCUCGGGCCACCUGGACGCAGGGAGAGAAACAAAUGGAGCGGUUCUGCACGUGCGUGCUUUCCUGAAUUGUGGGAUGCGCGCCCGAGACCGGCUCCGACAAGC
rnacentral:telomerase_RNA from 1 species